GGCUUCCUUUCUCUCUUCCAUAUGAGAGACUUGACGACCGAGGGGGGCAGGGUAGGUGGCUCGCUCUCCCUAAAGCAGGUACUUUCCUCUGCCUACAGCGUGUGUCUCUCAGACCACCGCUGACAAGGUGCUGAUAUGUGGAAGUAGUUACCUCAGGUCGGCUGUUCCUGCAGCCAGGCUGGGAGCAGUCACUUCAAUGGAAAGCCUUGCGGUCCCUGCCAGCUCCUCUGGUCCACAGAUGUCUCCGGAUGUAGCCCCUUUUCGUGGUUGCACCGUGGGGAUUCGCAAGUGAUCAGCGCACCAGAGUUGAUACUGACCUUAAGGUGGACCUCCACAAAAGGAACCAAAGAAAUCUGUAGACUCUGCGUGUUCACCCAGGGAUCGCUUUCCUGGUAGUAAAAUGUAGCCAGCUUCUUUGUGGAAUGGAGUGAUCACUGGGUGCCAGGAACACUACGCUAUGAUGUGCAGAGGGGGAAAUGAAGGCUAGCUCAUCCAAAGGAAGCUUCAGGGGAAUUUUAGAUCAGCAGAAUGCAAUUAUCCAAGUUGGCAUUGUUCCAGGACUCCAAAAGCGAAUUCUAAAGAGUGUAUCUCCUUACAAGUACACAUGAAUCUUCUACUGCUUCUCUCUCCUCAAAUCAGUAACCAGCCGUGGUGACGUGGCCUCUGAAGAAGAGGAAGACUUAGGUCCUGGCAGCGGGGUGUGUAUAUUUGUUGGGAUGGGGGAGGAGGAAAGAUAAUUUCAUACGAAAUUCUGGAUUAAUGGAACA